rnacentral:rRNA from 1 species
CAGGCCUAACACAUGCAAGUCGAGGGGCAGCAGGGCAAUAGCUUGCUAUUGUUGCUGGCGACCGGCGCACGGGUGAGUAACGCGUAUCCAACCUACCCCGCGGUCAGGGACAGCCCGGCGAAAGUCGGAUUAAUACCUGAUGCAGUCAGAAGAGGGCAUCUGAUUUUGACGAAAGAUUGAUCGCCUCGGGAUGGGGAUGCGUAGGAUUAGGCAGGCGGCGGGGUAACGGCCCACCGCGCCGACGAUCCUUAGGGGUUCUGAGAGGAAGGUCCCCCACACUGGUACUGAGACACGGACCAGACUCCUACGGGAGGCAGCAGUGAGGAAUAUUGGUCAAUGGGCGCGAGCCUGAACCAGCCAAGUAGCGUGCAGGAUGACGGCCCUAUGGGUUGUAAACUGCUUUUAUGCGGGGAUAAAGUGCGGCACGUGUGCCGUUUUGUAGGUACCGCAUGAAUAAGGACCGGCUAAUUCCGUGCCAGCAGCCGCGGUAAUACGGAAGGUCCGGGCGUUAUCCGGAUUUAUUGGGUUUAAAGGGAGCGCAGGCGGCCUUUUAAGCGUGACGUGAAAUGUAGGCGCUCAACGUCUGAAUUGCGUCGCGAACUGUUAGGCUUGAGUAGACGGAAUGUCGGCGGAAUUCGUGGUGUAGCGGUGAAAUGCUUAGAUAUCACGAAGAACUCCGAUUGCGAAGGCAGCUGACAGCAGUUUUACUGACGCUCAUGCUCGAAAGUGCGGGUAUCGAACAGGAUUAGAUACCCUGGUAGUCCGCACGGUAAACGAUGGAUGCCCGCUGUUUGCCUUUUUGGUAAGCGGCCAAGCGAAAGCAUUAAGCAUCCCACCUGGGGAGUACGCCGGCAACGGUGAAACUCAAAGGAAUUGACGGGGGCCCGCACAAGCGGAGGAACAUGUGGUUUAAUUCGAUGAUACGCGAGGAACCUUACCCGGGCUUGAACUGCACAGGAAUGCGGGAGAGAUCCCAAAGCCCUUCGGGGCCUGUGUGGAGGUGCUGCAUGGUUGUCGUCAGCUCGUGCCGUGAGGUGUCGGCUUAAGUGCCAUAACGAGCGCAACCCUUCUCUUCAGUUGCCAUCACUUCGGGUGGGCACUCUGGAGACACUGCCACCGUAAGGUGUGAGGAAGGUGGGGAUGACGUCAAAUCAGCACGGCCCUUACGUCCGGGGCUACACACGUGUUACAAUGGGGCAUACAGAGCGCAGGCCGCCGGCGACGUCGGUCCAAUCGUCAAAGUGCCCCUCAGUUCGGAUUGGGGUCUGCAACCCGACCCCAUGAAGCUGGAUUCGCUAGUAAUCGCGCAUCAGCCAUGGCGCGGUGAAUACGUUCCCGG